rnacentral:tRNA from 1 species
GCUCAGGUGGUGGAAUUGGUAGACACGCCAUCUUGAGGGGGUGGUGCCUUCCGGGUGUAGGGGUUCGAGUCCCCUCCUGAGCA